AUCGCUUCUUGGCCUUUUGGCUAAGAUCAAGUGUAGUUUUGAGUGGAAUUUAGUAGUAAAGCUAUACCUUCCUUAUAACUUAGUGCUUAUUGACGAGAGCUGUUAAAUUCAUUUUUUUAAACUCUUC
ensembl:snRNA U2 U2 spliceosomal RNA